rnacentral:rRNA from 1 species
CCCGCACAAGCGGUGGAGCAUGUGGUUUAAUUCGAUGCAACGCGAAGAACCUUACCUGGGCUUGACAUCCCGAGAAUCCCCUGGAAACAGGGGAGUGCCUUUCGGGGAACUCGGAGACAGGUGCUGCAUGGCUGUCGUCAGCUCGUGUCGUGAGAUGUUGGGUUAAGUCCCGCAACGAGCGCAACCCUUGUCUUUAAUUGCCAGCAUUCAGUUGGGCACUUUAAAGAGACUGCCGGUGUUAAGCCGGAGGAAGGUGGGGAUGACGUCAAGUCCUCAUGGCCUUUAUGCCCAGGGCUACACACGUGCUACAAUGGGUGGUACAAAGAGAUGCCAACUCGCGAGAGCGCGCCAAUCUCAGAAAGCCAUCCUCAGUUCGGAUUGGAGUCUGCAACUCGACUCCAUGAAGUUGGAAUCGCUAGUAAUCGCGGAUCAGCACGCCCGCGGUCCGAAUACGUUCCGGCCUU